rnacentral:rRNA from 1 species
AUGCCAGCAGCCGCGGUGAUACGUAGGGUGCAAGCGUUAAUCGGAAUUACUGGGCGUAAAGCGUGCGCAGGCGGUUUUGUAAGACAGAUGUGAAAUCCCCGGGCUUAACCUGGGAACUGCGUUUGUGACUGCAAGGCUAGAGUACGGCAGAGGGGGGUGGAAUUCCACGUGUAGCAGUGAAAUGCGUAGAUAUGUGGAGGAACACCGAUGGCGAAGGCAGCCCCCUGGGCCUGUACUGACGCUCAUGCACGAAAGCUGGGGGCACGAACCGGAUUAGAUACCCGGGUAGUCCCAGCCGUAA